GCAGAAUAAGCACCGGCUAACUCUGUGCCAGCAGCCGCGGUAAUACAGAGGGUGCGAGCGUUAAUCGGAUUUACUGGGCGUAAAGCGUGCGUAGGCGGCUUUUUAAGUCGGAUGUGAAAUCCCUGAGCUUAACUUAGGAAUUGCAUUCGAUACUGGAAAGCUAGAGUAUGGGAGAGGAUGGUAGAAUUCCAGGUGUAGCGGUGAAAUGCGUAGAGAUCUGGAGGAAUACCGAUGGCGAAGGCAGCCAUCUGGCCUAAUACUGACGCUGAGGUACGAAAGCAUGGGGAGCAAACAGGAUUAGAUACCCUGGUAGUCCAUGCCGUAAACGAUGUCUACUAGCCGUUGGGGCCUUUGAGGCUUUAGUGGCGCAGCUAACGCGAUAAGUAGACCGCCUGGGGAGUACGGUCGCAAGACUAAAACUCAAAUGAAUUGACGGGGGCCCGCACAAGCGGUGGAGCAUGUGGUUUAAUUCGAUGCAACGCGAAGAACCUUACCUGGCCUUGACAUACUAAGAACUUUCCAGAGAUGGAUUGGUGCCUUCGGGAACUUAGAUACAGGUGCUGCAUGGCUGUCGUCAGCUCGUGUCGUGAGAUGUUGGGUUAAGUCCCGCAACGAGCGCAACCCUUUUCCUUAUUUGCCAGCGGGUUAAGCCGGGAACUUUAAGGAUACUGCCAGUGACAAACUGGAGGAAGGCGGGGACGACGUCAAGUCAUCAUGGCCCUUACGGCCAGGGCUACACACGUGCUACAAUGGUCGGUACAAAGGGUUGCUACCUCGCGAGAGGAUGCUAAUCUCAAAAAGCCGAUCGUAGUCCGGAUCGCAGUCUGCAACUCGACUGCGUGAAGUCGGAAUCGCUAGUAAUCGCGGAUCAGAAUGCCGCGGUGAAUACGUUCCCGGGCCUUGUACACACCGCCCGUCACACCAUGGGAGUUUGUUGCACCAGAAGUAGGUAGUCUAACCGCAAGGAGGAC
rnacentral:rRNA from 1 species